rnacentral:lncRNA from 1 species
UUUUUUUUUUUUUUUGGGUACUACAAUUAACUAAUUAGUUAGUUAAGUAGAUAUCAAUGUAGUUAUCUUGGAAACAACAUAGCUUUUGCUUACGGGAUAGACAACAGCAAGCUUCAACGACUCUAAAUCGUCGUGCAAAUCACAAGGUUUAAAUUCUAGUCAUAUUCUUAUUGGCUUUUACAUUUACAUGCAGUGAUGAAAUAAUUAGGUUUUUUGGUCGGCAGUUGGGGGAUUUGUUGAUAAUGUCAUCAAGCAACGACGAGUUAGCAGUUUGGUGGCUUGAGAUGGUGACUAUAAUAGUGGAAGGUGGCUAGAGUUUAUGGAAUUAGCUUUAUAAAAGUAAUUGAUAAUGAAAAAUAAAUAAAUAAAUAAAGGUGAGGGGUGGUGAAAGAAAGUGAGGAGGUGAAAUAUCGCCAGUCAUACUUUAUAAUAAUAUAGGGCUUUCAGUAACAAUAAAGUUGGAAUCGAAAGCCCACGCCCACACCCUAAAUCAAACCCAGCGCCAAUCACAUCAUUUGGGUUGGUUUUCGAUGUUAGAAAUCCAGCCCAUUUUAAUGGUAGGCUGGACUAAGUUGAAUUUGACAAAAGCGGGGUUUUAACUCUCUCGCAAAACUCUUAUGAAGCCUUCCCUUCGUACUUAUAUCUCUUUCUUUGAUAAAAGUUAUAAAAAAGGAUCAAUAAAUUACAAUAAAUUUUGAAUUAAAUUUUACUAUUUAAAUUGUGAACAUACUAUUUCAAACUAAAAUACUUAUUAUUAGAUAAUUUAUUUCUUCAUUGAUUCAAAAGUAUAAUGAUUUUUAUAUAUUAAAGAAAAGUUAUUUAUAUAUAUGUUAGGAUUCAAUCAUUCAAAGAGAGUUAGAUCCAUUAUUUGUCCUUCAAUAUAAUAGAACUAUGAUUAUAAAAAUGGGUUUUCAUAAGAAUAUUAAAAGGGUGUGAAAACUGAAAAGUAUUACUCGCUCACAAACUCAUACGACCCAAGCCCAUGUAUUUAAUAUAUAUAUAUAUAUAUAUAAUGAUUUUAUUGAUAAAUUAGCAUGAAAGAAAAAUAAAUGCCAACUAUUUAUUUUGGUAUAAUUGGAAAUUUGCAUCUCUUGAUUUAUCAUUGGCACUUAGGGUUGGGCAUAGAUUGGGUUUGUGAAAAUCAACCCAAUCUACUAUUGAAUAGAUUGAGAUAAAUUCAACCUAACCUAAUUAAAUAAACAAAAUCAAUGGGUUGAGUAAGGUUGGAUUGAUCGGGUUGAAGAUUAAAUCAAAAUUAAAAGUUUAAUAAAGAAAAAAGAUGUAAAACUUAAAAUGAAACUUAUUAAAAUUAAAUAUAAAUCUAUUAUAACAUGAAAUUUCAUUCACCAUUGAGUGUUCGAUAAAGAAAGUUAAAAGAUUAGCUAUCUAAAAAUUUCAAUGAUGAGCUCUUCGACUUUAUUCCUGGUUCCUCGCAUCUCUUUUUCAAACUCUAAGUUUAGACCUUUUAGAUAAUUAAUUAGCAUCAUUUUCAAUAACAAAAUGAAAGUGGUAUAUAAUAAUAUAAAAUAAAUAUUUAUUAAAAAAUAAAGAGAAAUUGAAAUCAACUUACUUUCAAAAUUAUACUUAAAAGAUAAUAAAUUCACUUAUAUGAGAGAGAGAUUUUAGUUUUGGAAUUAGACUUUAGAGCAACAAAUACGAGAAUGAAAUAGUCUUUUCGAUAUAAAAAUAAAAAGAGUUAAAAAUUAGGUUAGUCGUUUAGGUUUUCAGGAUUUUACAGUUGAGGAUUAAUAUGUGUGUGUAUUUGCAAAUGUUGAAUUAGGUUAGGCAAAUUCAUUAUAAUUAACCCAACCCAACCCAAUUAUUAAUUAAGUUCUGAAAAUUGACCUAAUUAACUUAUAACAAUCCGCUCAACUCAUCAAACUUAAAUUGGGUUGGAUCAAGUCUAUUGGGUUAGAUUAGGUUUGCCCACCCCUAAUGGCGCUACCACCAUCAAUGAUUAAGUUUAUGAUAGUCGCUAUAAUGAUAUUUUUAAGUUUCAGCAGAAUUGGAUCACCACCAUUGAAUUUUUUAGUUAUUUUUAAAUUAAUUUUUUUCCUAAGAGGAUAAUACACUAAAAAUUAUUGAGUCUAAAAGAAAGAAAGUGAACUAACUUUAUUUAUUUCCUUUAUCGUUUAUUUAUACAUUUAAAUCCAAGUGUUUUAAAAAAUAGUUCAAAUAUUACUUUUCUUGAAAUUUUGGUUCAAUCACAUGCCGUAAAUUUCAUUUUGUGAAGCCCAAUGUUUAUGGGAGAUUUUUAUAUCUCUAACACAUCCAAUAUAUGAAAACAAAAUUCAUAAAAAUGUACUUUUCCAAAACAUAUGUAUUUAGAUAUCUAUUAUUGUCAAUUUUUAAUUAUUUUUCCCAUUUAUUUAUUUAAUAUUGCGUUUAUGUUCGCUUAAAUAUUAUAGGAGAUAUUAAUAUACACACAAUAAUAUCAAAUUGUUGGAGGAAAUGAAAUUUAAAUUAUUGGACAAGUGAGAGUAAUUUUUUUAUAAUGGUAUUUCUCUAUUAGAAUAAAUAAAAUUAAAUAAAUAAAAUGGUAUUUCUCUAUUAGAAUAAUAAACUGUUUUCGUCUAUACAUCAACCAAAUUUGAGCUUACUACGAUGCUAUUGUCAUAUUUAAGUACAUUAUUUUUUGUCCGGAAGACUCUCCAAAACUAACAUAGAGUCAACAAAUCUACAUCAUAUAUUCCCAAAAAGAUUUGCAAAAUUAGUGUUAAGAAGCUACGCAGCGUGAAGUCAACUUGAAGUUAUGCAUGCCUCCGCUGCGAAAUCAGAUAUUAAAAAUUCUUGUUGAUUACAUCGAUCUUGAAUUCGAAGUUCAAAUUGCCAACUAGUUAUGAGUUGGGUCACGAACUUCAUGGAGUUUGGGUUUGGGCCAAAAACCCGUCUGGCAGCCCAAAUGAAAUCAACAUUUACAUUUUUCUUUUUCAAUUCCUAAAUUGUGGAUAGACCUAUCACCUAUAGUCAAUAUGCGACGGCUACUAAAUUAAGGCGAGGAAGGAGAAUUAUUUUCUUUGUUAUUCUCGAUUAGGUGGGUUAGCUCACAUCAAAAUCAAUUCAUUGCUUCACAAUUUUAUGACGUUAGAAAUUUCUAUUAGAAAUUGUAUACUUCAAUCAUUUAAAAAAAGAAAAAUCCUAUAUAGGAUUCCAAUUCUAUCACUUCAAAAUUCCACCUAAUCCCCUAACAACUACAAGUCAAUUUAUGCUAGCAAUAGAAAAAAAAUAAAAAAAUAAAACCCAUCUGACAAUUUAUUCAAACAUCAAUUUCACAUAUAGUUACAAACUUUCUUGGCUCUUCAUUUAGGCUGCUGAUUUAUACCUGCAAAGAACCUUACAUCUCAGAACCUUAUCUUGAACAUAAAACCCAGGCAUCACCAUGAUUUUAACUCGGCUCGAACCGUGUGACUUUUGCCUAUCCAUCAACAUAUCUUCCAUGUAAUGUGCAUCAAAGCUUCUAUUAUCUUCGACCCUCAAGAUUCCCAAUGGUGGAUUGAAUGAAAAUGCAAGCAAAUGAAGUAACCAAAUGCAUUUAGCUGCAACAAAGAAAGCCUGCAGCAAUUGCUCAGGCCAUGGCCUAGUCCAAUUCAGUGUCGUGAUAAUGCAACUCAUUUUUUGGUCGCAGAACUUGCUAAAUUCUUCACUAUAGAAUUUAGUCCCCUUCCUCAACACUUCAUUCCAGCUUAGAUUUCUUAGUGAAACAAACGACGCAAACUGUGCUUGGCGAUCUUGCUGUGGAUCUAAAAUCUUCGGUGAGCCAUUUUUCUGAAACACACAAUUCUCAAAGUCCUGGUAGAGUGAUUGGUUUAUCAUGGCUUCCAAGUGGUACAAAACAGCCUUGGAGUAUUUUGAACUUAGUGACAAUUUAUACGGUUGAAGCAGCACAUUCAAAUUAUCCAUUAGAGUGUGGUCCGUCUCUUCAAUCUGUGCAACAAGUGUCUUGCAAAAUUGCUUCACCGACAAUCUUGCUUCUGAAACAAUCUGCAAGAAACCUUCCACCAUUGCUUCUUCACUAACCGGCAUCAAACUCUCUCCAUUUCCAUCAAUAGACUUCCCUCUUCGGGGAAAAUUCCCAAGCUUUUCAUUAACUUGAUGAGAGUCCUUUGCAUGUGUUGCUGCUUGUCUCAAGGCUUUCUUCAGCUCUUCACAAUAAGCCUCCAAGUACUCCAGCUUUUGCCUUAGCUCCCCAAAUGAAGAUCUCAUCUCUGAAACUUCCAUUAAUGCUGCGUCUCUACUCUCAUUUGCUUCCAUAAGUUCCCUCUUCAAUGUCUCUAUUGACAAUAUCCCCAAGUCCUUAAAAACCUGUGAAACUUCCUCGGAUUCUGUCCGGUUAGGGGAGUUUUCACUCUUGUGCUUCUUCUUUAACCGCGGAAACAACCAUGACAGCACUCCCCCACGACUCUUAGGCUGCGAGUGAACCAUUGAAUGAGAGUCUGUCAAGGGCACAACAAUGUUAGAACUCCUGAUGCUUCUAACGACAUUUUCGGAUUCACUUGUUAUAACUGCCGGCUUGCAUCUAUUGCAAGAGGAUACUGAUUUGAAGUCCCCCAAGCUGUUUCUUCUGCUUGACUUGUAAACUUCAGUUCCUGGUGAUGUUUGUAGCACAGUGAUGUGGUUUGUGCAGGAACCAGUAACUGAUUUUUGGUCAUCAGCUGGGCAGAAAUGGGACUCGAAACUGGCCAAACCAGAAGGCAAUCCUUUCUUUGAAGAUAAAAUUUCUUUCUUAUAAUCAGAUAAAGUUGAUUCAUUGCCAUUGCCUCCAUCCAAUGCAUACUCAUCCCAGGUUCCCGAUGGAUUCUUUGAGUGAAUCUGAUGAUACCCGGUUACUGGUUCAUCUUCAUAACUCUGUCAAAAAUUCCCCAAAAUCUCAAUAUAAAAUCCAACUACAUGAGAAAGCUAGAACAAAAUUGAAAGCAUAGCAUGUUAAAAAAUGGCCUAUAUUAUCCCAUCACGGUAAAAAAUCAAGAAAAUGCACAUGAGAUUAAAAUUAAAAUAAGUAGAAAUUUAAAAGAAUGAGCAUGUUAGUUUAUACAGAAUACAAUAUACAUUGACAAAACGAAAGGGCAUAUUAAUAUCACAACAAAACAAAUUUCUGGUUUUUAUUUAUUCAAUCGCUGCCAACUACUAAAGUACCUAAAAAAUUCCUUUUGUUACAGAAUCUUUUCAAAAUAUUAGACCACAAAUGGAGUAGCAACAACAGAAAAAACAUUCCGUUUCAAUAAAUAACAUAAAGGUAAUUAAAAAAGAUUACAACUUGUUUUAAAAAAAUAAGAAAAUAAACAAAACUUACAGGAGUGAAAACAGGGUAAUCAUGAGCAGAGAACUGAGAAACAGGGCGAGAAACCGGGGAAGUAGAAGAAGAAUUGAAUCUGUUAUUAGCAGCAGGGCUAUUUCCUUGCAUCAGAGCUGAAUGAAGGGCUCUGAGCUCCACUGCUUUAGCAAUGGCAGCUUGUAUUUCUUGUCUGCUAACUUCAUUAUUAUUGUUGUUUUCGUUGCCACUGUCGUGAUUUUGAAAGAUUUGUGUAGCAGUAGUUGCCGCAGCCAUGAACAGAGCAUAAAACAGAGUUGCACAUAAACAAAAUAAUACACAACAGAGAAUAGAACAAAGUAUGCGACUAGAUAUUGUUGUAAAAUUUGGGUAUCCAACGGUUGGAUGUGAUUCGCAGAGAUUAAGAUGAUAUCCACUGUUAGAAUCUUGGAGAGCCAGAAAAUUGUGAGAGAUGGGGAAAUGAAUAAGAAAAUGGAAAUGAAAAUGAAUGUGAGGUAUAUAUGUAAACUCCAAUGAACUUUUCUUUUGUCUUUGUCUUCAAGGAAUUAAUAGAAUGAGAGCAUGUGAGUAAGAAAGAGAGAGAAGUUUCAAAAUGGAUUAAUAGAAUGACAGCAUGUGAAGGAAAAGAGAGAGGGAACAAUUCAUGGCUUUGCCAGUUUCCUAAAAUGCCCAUGAAUUUUUCUAAAACUAAAUUUCUUGGACCACCCUAGCCUUUCAAGAAAUAUCGAGAGGUUUCAAAACUUUUUGAUUAUAAGUUGUGAUAUGACCGUGAAUUGAAUCCUAGACUUUUUGUAGUACCUAAAAAGGAAAAAGUUCUUGUAGAUUGAGAGUAAUGUGCAUUCGGGGUUUCGAAGACUCACAAAAUCUUAUUAGUAAAACAAAUCUUUUUACACUCACCAUUAAUAAUAAUAGAAAAUGAUCAUUUUCAAAUAGCAACAAGAAGUGAUGGCGGUACCACUUAGAAACAUGAUUGCUCAAGUAUUAUAACAAGAUGGUUCCACUAUAAAAUCAUUAUUUAUACCAACAGUUUUUGUUGGUGGUGUUGUUCUCAUUAUUGCAUUGAUUUGAAGUUGUUAUCAUACAUGUGUAAUCAUCAUAAUUGAUCAUAUAAGUAUGCUGCCAUCUGAGGGCACGCUCUAGCCCCACAUUGAUUAGACUAUUUGUUUAGAAAUAGUAAAUAAACAUGAUAUUAUUUCUAUUGUAAAAAGUUGUGUUCACAAUCAUAGUCUUCACUUGAAUUUUCUUUCCUUCAUUUGCAUUUUCAAUGGAGUCUAAGCUGUAAAUCCAUAUGAAGAAUAGACAAAUGCGGAUCACAAGUAAAAAGAAAACAUUUGACUGGUGUUAAGCUUGACUUUAGUUUUUAACGUUGAAUAACAUUGUAUUAGAGUUAUAAUUCUAUGCUAUAAAUUCCUUCAACUCAUUCAAUUUAUUGACGACUUCAUCUCGGUUUCAAUUUCAUCAAAGACAUGUAUUUUGAUUUAAGUCAGAUUUCAUUGAAUUCUCAUUCGACAUUAGAGACCUAUUAGACCUAACUAAAACGCAACAUUUUUCUUGAAUUCUACCUAAGGUUUUGAUAGCGGCUGCUUCUCAAUUGCAAUUUCAAAACCAAACUUUGAAUUAACACUAACAUAGUGCAUGCUCCUGUGGAAAAUUCACGCAGUUGAUUUCAAAGUGGUUAAAAGCCAUGCAAUUGAUGUUCACUGUGAAAGUUGAGCUAAUUUAUUGUUUAAAAUUUUUCAAAAUCUAAUAAAUAAAUGGUUCACUUUUUAGUAAGCAAAGAAGAAAAGAAUAGAAAAGAAAAAGUUGCUAUAAUUACUCCAUUACAUUGGACCUUUGAAGGUAGAAUUUAGAGGUUCUUAGGGUAGUUUUGUCCAAAGAGAGUUGCCCCAAGGUUGCGGGCUUGCGGAUUCUGCCGAAAGGAAAUCAGGUGGGGGACAGACAUGUCCGAUAGCUUCCACAUACUCACUGUCUUUCCCUUUUCUCUGAGUUGUGAAUCUAGUGAGAAAUAAUGCCAUUGUGGGGACCAUAAAAAUUAAUCUUAGUACAAUUUUUUCUUUUUUGUUUUAAUUUAGCUUAACGGUUGUAACUAACAUAAACUUUGACCACUUAUACUGCGCUUAGUGUCAGUAACAACGCUACAGAGUUAUAGACUCCGGAUAUGCAGAGUAAAUAUAAAUAUAGACAUCCCUAAAAGCAACAGUAUGUGAGUCACGAGACAGAUGAAUAAAUAAAAAUACUAGAUUAAAUAAAAAGAGCAAAAGAAUAGCUAAUUAAGAUGAGAUUUAAUCGGUCACAGCUGAAAGUUUUUAUAAAUAGAAAUAUUGAAUAAUUUGAAAGAGAUUUGAACUUAAAUUCUCAGGGGAGAAUAUGUCCAUUCUCCCCUAAUUAAGAUUACUUUUUUUUUUUUAGUAUUUUCCAAGGAACCAUAUGCUAAUUUGAGCGAUGAAAUUCUUUUUAUAGGUACCAAAUUGACACUAGAAGUUGUGGGAGUUUGAAGAUAAGGACAAAAUUGUCAUUUUUUGAUAUCGAAGGAAUUUUGCUUCUUCAACAAUAAUCUAAUCCCCUUCCAUCUAUACGAGCAUAGUUGAAAUAUCAUACUUCUUAUUUUCAACACAAGCUUCAACAUUAAUCUAAUCCCCUUCCAUCUAUAGGAGCAUAGUUGAAAUAUCAUAUUUCCUAUUAGUAAUUCUAAAAAAAAAAAAAAUUCACGUAGUUAGCUACUUCCAGUGACGUUAAAACUUAGAUGAGAAUUUCAAUCCAAGCGACAUUGGGGGUUAAAUGGAGAUUAUUGAAAGAAGUAGGGCUUUUUUGAAGUAACCAAUUAUGUAUUAAAUAUUUCAACUAUGUAAUAGUUUUUGUUGUUUGUUUAUUUCAGAUGGAAUUCCAGGUAGGAUUGUUGAAAUGUUAAUUUAGUAUACGAAGUUUGCUUUUCCCCAUCAUCGCUUUUGUUUUUGUAAAAAAAUUAUUAAUAAUAAAAACCAUUAUAAUAUUGAGAUUAAUUUUCUGAUCCAACCACCCCAUCAAAAAGCUUACUAAGGUUUUGUCAACCUCCACAUGCAAAAAGUGCUGUUAAUUUCUUGUUUAAUCGAUAAGAUAAUGACUAUAAUAAGUUUAAAUUAAGCAUAGUGAUCAUAGCAGGUUUGAUGUUGCACAAAGUUUAGAAUCUAAGCAGCUAUAAGCUGUCUAGUAAUUAGCCAUGACUCCUGCAAAGAUAAGGCUUGGAACCCAACAAAAGAAUUAGGUUCCAUUCUUUUGACGAUUUACGAAAAAAAAAGUCAAAAAAAAAAAUUUUUAGUAUUCAUAUUGUUCGGUGAAAAUUUUGUUCAUACUAAAUUUUAUCUUAUUAUGAUCAGAUCAAAGAGAUGAAUCAAAAUUAUUAUUGAGCACUAAAUGAAUAGUUUGUAUUUUUUGAUUUUUUUUUAUUCUCUCACCUAACAACUAUUUAUUCAGAGCUCAACAAAAAAAUUAGCUCAAUAAUAAAUCUUUAUUCUUGAAAUAUUUGUAAUGUUAACAAUGAAAUGCAAAUGAUUUUCAAUAAAAUGCAAUACUAUGCUUAUGAUAUCUGAUGUUUUACUAAUCAAAUUAAGACCGAACUUAAUGCCGUGACUCUAUCAUGUUGAAUCUAAAACCUAGAAAGAAGAAUAAUUUAUUUCAUAUUUUACUUUAACAAUUUAAUACAGACCGUAUUAAUGGUUUAGGAUAGGGCCUCACAAUCAUUUGUCCAUUUCAUUUCUUAGAAUCAAAGGCUUCUUAGAGGACAGGCUUGACUCUUCAUACUGCAAAAGUGAUUGAGGGUGGAGCUUACACAGUAUAUCACAUCUUGAUCCUUGAGAAUUUAGAACAUGAAAAUAAAGUAUAUAUCUUUUCUUGUGAUUGGUUACUAAUAAAAAUUUUAAAACAAUUAAUAUUUGACAAGGCGGAAACAUUGAAAGUAGAUUAAUAUAAGAAAUAAAGGUUUGUGAAUAAUGAUAAGUUUUAUUGAAAAAUCUAAAUGAGUAAAACUAUGGUUUUGAGCUCCUUUUAUAAUAAGUUUAGAUAUCCUGAAUUUACUAAAAUAGUUAAAUUCAAAAUAUAAUAUGAUAAUUAAAUUCUCCUAAUUAAAAUAAUAAAAUAAAAAUAAACAGCACUCAAACUUGAAUUCCAAAAAAAAGAUAAAAAUCUUUAAAAAAAACAAGGAAAAAUAGGAAAAAAAAUCCUAAAACUAGGAAAUGAUCAGGGAAAAAGUAGAAUUUCUAGCUUGAUCCUGGGGCAGAACAACACAAGUAGUUCUGAGUUAGAUUUGUCUUGUCGCAAGCUUUAAAACAACAUAUUAUACUUAAAAAGGGGAUGCCUGAGGCCUGUGGCUCAAGUUAUGGCCUUCAGAAGAUACCCUACUUGUAAUACACAAUUACCAUACAUCAAUAUCAAUCAUAAUGUAAUAAUGAUAAUUAUGAGAAAAUCGAGAUCUCCAUGAUAACAAGCUUGUUACCUCAAUAUUACAGCAAAAAUGCAAAACCCAGUAAUCAUGCAAUCCUUAGAUGGAUAUUUCUCAUCCUUUAUGAGAAAAUGAUUAAUUUAGAUUCAGACUUGAGAUUUUUAUACUAUUGUAACUAUCAUUGAUUAGAUAAAAAAUAAUAUUUAAUUAAAUCUUAACUAUAAACCACUAUAAAUUUUUGCGUGAUAGAAAAUAAUAAUAAAAAAACUCAGCUCAUAUCUUUAAUACUUUUAGAAGAAUAUCACCGGGUAAAAGCCUAUUUAGUCUCUGUAUUUUAAGAUUAGUGUCCAUUUAGUCCCCGCAUUUUUAAAAAUAUCUCGAAACAUUCAUAUUGUUCAAGUAUUGAUGCCCCUACCCACGUUAAUAUGUUGAUAUUUAGCAAACCUGACCAGAAUUAAUUCUAUUCUAUUAUAACACAACUCAGAGGUCUAAACCUAUUUUUCUUAUCAUGUCUACUUCAUUUGCCUUUUUCAAGGGAUAGGUGAUAUUCGGGUAAAAGUUCAUUUAGUCCCUAUAUUUUAAUAUUAAUGUCUAUAUAGUUUUCGUAUUUUUAAAAAUACCUCGAAAUAUCAUUGAUGUUAAAGCAUUGAUACCCCUACCGUUACUUUUUAUUUUUUUUGGCUUAUUUUUACAAUAUUACCCUUUUAUAAUAUUUUUUUUGUUUGGACAUUAAUAAAAAGAAAAUAAUUAAAUUACCAAUUUAACCCUAAAAAUAAAAAAUAUAAAAUUAUAUUAAUUUUUAAUUGUCAAAAAUUGUAUGCAAACUAUCAAGUGUGCAAAUGGUGCUUGCAAAAAAAUUAAUAUAAAUUUUUUAUUUUUUAGGGUUAAAUUGGUAAUUUAAUUAUUUUAUUUUUAUUAAUCCAAACAAAAAAAAUAUUAUAAAAGGGUAAUAUUGUAAAAAUAAGCCAAAAAAAAUAAAAAGUAACGGUAGGGGUAUCAAUGCUUUAACAUCAAUGAUAUUUCGAGGUAUUUUUAAAAAUACGAAAACUAUAUAGACAUUAAUAUUAAAAUAUAGGGACUAAAUGAACUUUUACCCGAAUAUCACCUAUCCCUUGAAAAAGGCAAAUGAAGUAGACAUGAUAAGAAAAAUAGGUUUAGACCUCUGAGUUGUGUUAUAAUAGAAUAGAAUUAAUUCUGGUCAGGUUUGCUAAAUAUCAACAUAUUAACGUUAUUAUUUUAUUGAAAAAACACAAUAUUUUCUUCGAAAUUGGGUCCCUUAGAAGCAAAUGAACAUUGCCACCAUCGUUUGUAUUUUUGCCUCGUGUCUUCCAAUUGAUACUGAUCAUAUAUUAUUUUAGGAGAAACCUGCGGUGCAACUGUGGUACCGUGCCACAGUUGCAUCCAACCGUUAGAUGCUAAUGGAUUCCAUCAAUUCAAGUACAUCCAAUAAUUAGAUGUAAUUGUGGUACGGUACCACAGUUACACCGUAGCCUGAUCCAUUAUUGUAAUACAAAAAUCCUACAAAAGUUAAGAACAAUCUCCAGUCUUUGGUUAAUAUUUUGUUCAAUCCUUUUUUUUUAGUUUCCCCAGACAGGUGUUCCAAAAAAAAAAAAUAAUAAUUCUCCAAAGAGAAUAUUUAUAUUUUCAUGAUUGUAGCUUUAUGUUUGUAUACACAUAAGUAGUGAAUGCUCAUCAUUUUCAUUUUACAGCUUUAUGUUCUUGCACAGAGAUUGAUUGUCUGUCCCUUUCUUUCGUACCGAAGAGAAUAAAGCAGCGAAAAUACUGCAACAAAAUCCAAGCAAAAAUACUGCAAAGCAUUAAGCGUGCGUGUUUUAUUUCUUUUUAUUUUCUUGUAUUAUUAUUUAUCUCAAAAAAUAAAUUAUUUUUAAAUUGAAAAAAAAGAAAGCAAGAAUAAAGUGUUUCUGUUUGCCAAGUUAGGAGUAUUUUUUAAAGUGAAAGUAGAAAGAAUGAAUACUCAUGCAUGCUUGGCUUACUCCUCGUAUAACGUUUGGAUUUUGGCUUGGCUUGGUUGUUUGCUCGUGCUAAAAGAUUAUUCCUUUUGUUAAAUGUAUGUGUAUGCUAUUGCGUAUAAAGAGUCAGAUUCAAUACCCACGAAAGUAACGAAAGAGGAAUUUUCAAUAAAUACAACGACUAAAUAGAUCAUUGUCUUAGCCAUAAUUGUGAGGAAAGUGGUUCGCGCCCCCGCAGACGCAUUGCAGGGGUUUAAUUUAAAUAUCUUUAUUUGAGGCCUUAGAGCUUGAGUGAAGACAGUCUUUCUCAUAAAAUGAGAGUUGGGCAUUCCUCGAAUAUUUGAGAGGGUUAAAAAUCUGAGCGGUGUCAUAUCAGAAUUGAUGUAAACGGGUCUUAGUAAUUUAUAUGGUGUAAAUAUCAUGAACAAUAAUUCUUUAAAAAAAAAAAAGAUCAUUGUCUUAAAUUUUCGGGACUAAAGAAUAUUUACUUAAUAUCUGUGACAACAUACCAUAUUUUUUUUUUCUUAUAGCCCCAUUGUCGUUUCAUAUUAGUUGAAAUAGACUUCGUGCUCAAGUUGAGACAAAUGAGAGCCCACUGUCGUUAGUGCAUUCACGUUCUUAAUUUUGAGUUCAUUUUGUAAGAUAUAUUAAUUGUUUUUGUGACGAACGUCGUUGGAGUUUGCUCUUCAAUUCAUAGUGAGCUAUAAUAUUCGAGUUACCUAAUACAAUCGAACUAAUAUAAAUAGAAUCUCUAGAGCAAGACUAAUUAAAUUCAAUUUAGUACUCUAGAAACAAAACCCAAUAAUUGUAAGAGGAAUCUAUGUCCCAUAAAACAGCAGCACAGAUAAUUAGUAAUACGAUGUUAAAGAACGAUAUUUUCUUUUGAAAUAUCAAAGCUCUUAAACCAAUUAGUGCAUGCAUGAUAAAAUUGACAUCCAUGUUUUAGCCCAUCGACUAAUUUAAGUCGAUAAAUCAUCUCACAAUUAGAGGCCUUCUCCUUCCCCACUUUUCGACAACAAUAUUUUUCGCGUUGCUUCAAGAAGUAUAGGGAGUUGUUUCUUCGAUUGUUGAACCCAAGAAGAAUGUCGAAUUGUAUCUCUUCAAUAUCAACUUAUCUAAUUGCAAAAACAUGCACGCUCACAGUUUGUCAUGCUUAAUUUUCCGAAAUAAUAUCAUUUCCAACAUCCUUGAGGGUGAUUAAUUACUAAGUAUUGGAUAUGAUUGACGAUGUUAAGAUUUAUUUUAUACUUAUUCUCACCUCUUCGUCUCAUCGCUAAGGUUGAGGGUUUGAAUUAGUUUACAUCGAGGCAGUUCAAAACAAACUUUAUGCUCGGGCUUCAAAGUGAAUUAUAUUGAGACACGGCUCUCCUUAAUAUGAAAAUAGAUUUUCGAAUUGAUUUGCUUACUCUUGAUUUGAACUUCAACUGAACUACAUCAAGGCAGGGGGCUAGAGUCUCCUUUAUUAAGCAUACUUCCCAAUAAAAUUUCAAUUGCGCUACAUCAUUAGAAUCCCAACGUAUUUAAUACAACCAUUAGUAUACUUGUAAUAUACUUGGAAACGGAGAAACUAUAUAUAUGAAAACUAUCACAUCAAGCUUUUAGAUCCAGCACUUUCUUUAACGCAUAGACCAUUUAUAUUUAUUUAGAAGGCUAAUGCAUGGUCUAUUUGGUUAUUGUGAUUAGACGCUCGAGGUUGAUUAGUUGUUGCUUGAUACAAAUUAAUUAUUUCAUUGUCGUUUUGGAGCCACUUGUGUGUGUUAGGACAUUCGAAUAGGACAAAUAAAUCAUAUUCAAUGAACCCCAAGGAAGCAGCCAGUGAUACAAAAAUCAAAUAUGAAUAUUACACAUUUUUUAAAGUAGAGAUUAUCCUCCGACCACUUACAACAAUAUAGAAAUUGUAAAUAGUAAUUAUAAAUUUUUUACGAUAUCUUAAAACUACCUUAAAUUUUAAUUUUAAUUUAAUUAAUUAUUUUCUAUUAAUUACAUUAGUCACUAUUAAAGAAUCUAAGAUAAAUAAAUAAUUUUAAAUCACCACCUAAAAUAUAGUUUUAUCUUCUUAAAUAAAUGUAGGGACAGAACAAAUCCGACGUUCUCCAGCAUUUGAAGAUAAGAACACCUUCAUUAUGUAAUAAAACUACUUCAAAAUUUUUUGUAAUAAUUUCAAUCUAUCAUUAAAAUAAUAUUUUUGUCCCUUCUGAUUCAGUUAUAAACUAAUUAUCGAUUGUUUAUUGAGUUUUCGUUCAAGGGUAGGAACUAGGAAUCUAAAUGAUAAUUUUUUUUUUUUAAUUUUUUUGUCUGACAUGGAUGAGAAAAUGACAAAUUAAUUGAGUCCAUGACGAUAAGAGAUUAACUCACGAGUGUUGCAAAACAGCAACCUCCCUAAAAUUUUGACUUUUGUCAAAAAUUGAGUACCGCGUGGGACCUUGGGGUGAUAAUGCUCUGGUUGCAACUAAUCUGCAAAUUACUAAAUUACUAAAUUACCCGAAUAUUUCAACUAAUUUGCAAGUUUGCCAAUCCAAAUAUGCAAUGCAGUGCGCAGUAGAGAAAGAAAAAGACUUGUCGCUGUUUGCAAUUAGCCAAAUAUACAAAAGAAUCAUAAAAUUGAAUUUAAUAAUUCCAAAAAUUGUUCACUAAUUAAUUUACACAGAAAAUUCAAUAAGGAACAAUGGUCUCGAAACAGUUGACCCCAUCGAGCUCCAGCGCAAACCUCGGCAGCUUCGUCUUGGUUUGUUUCUGCUGCGUCAUCAUAUUAGCGUCGUUCGGCGUCGGUUUCCGUGGCGUUGACGUUGACCUGCCACCGUCUUCGUUUUUCUUCAUAAUACGAUCAUUAACAACGUUAUUGUUGUUGUUGCCGCUGUCUUUUGGCUUAGAUAACUUCAGUUUCUGGCCGUACGAUUCGGGGAAGAAGGCAUCGAACGAGCUGAAAAUCGACAUCAUCGUCGUUAAAUUAACUUUGAUGAGAGAAACUACCGAAUGAUUUGCCUUGAAUAUGAAUUUUAUAGCUUUUGAAAUCUCCGAAUCCGAUGAUGAAAAGAUUUCCCAAGAGUGGGGGUAUUUAUAUUUCAUAAUCAAUCAUAUAAUUCAUAGCGGAGGGAAAAUAACUGGAAACAACUGGGAGGACAGUGAGUUAACGGGAAACGAACUGGAAGGUGCGGAAUGUGGAGUACGUGUCAUGUUAUUAUUGGAGAUAUGACUCGACGUGGCGGGCGGCAAGUCAAUUGUGGAUGGACCGGGAGGGACUCUGUCAGCGCAUUUCUUUGACUAAAGCUUUCGGAAACAACUUUAAUUCAAUGUAUUAGGCUCAGCAAGUGGACGCAGUUGAUGUGCCAAAUUGUAAUCGUUUUCCUCGUUAGAGUAAUGCGAUAUUAUGUAUUUGGGAUUUAUAGUGUGUAUUGCAGCAUUCAACCAAACCUUAAUCACAUUAAUGAGGGGUGCGGUUUGGUUCGGUUUUGCUUAAAAACCAAAUCGUCGAGCCGAACCGUUCAAAAAUACAUGAAUCGAGUACGAACUGAACUUCUUUCUUUAAGCCUGAUUCGGUUUAGGUUGGAUCGGUUUUAAAUAAUUCGGUUUAUGAAAUUUAAUAUUUUAUUUUAUUAUUAGCCAAAUUUUUAUACUUUUCACCUAAAUUUGAUUAUUUUUUAGUUCAAUUUAAUUGUAAUCACGAAUCAAAUAUGUUUUAUGUAAAAAUACUAAUAAAAAAUAUUAUUGUACAUAUAAAUUAAU